rnacentral:rRNA from 1 species
GACGAACGCUGGCGGCGUGCCUAAUACAUGCAAGUUGAGCGCUGAAGGUUGGUACUUGUACCAACUGGAUGAGCAGCGAACGGGUGAGUAACGCGUGGGGAAUCUGCCUUUGAGCGGGGGACAACAUUUGGAAACGAAUGCUAAUACCGCAUAAAAACUUUAAACACAAGUUUUAAGUUUGAAAGAUGCAAUUGCAUCACUCAAAGAUGAUCCCGCGUUGUAUUAGCUAGUUGGUAAGGUAAAGGCUCACCAAGGCGAUGAUACAUAGCCGACCUGAGAGGUGGAUCGCCCACAUGGGAAUGGAGACACGGCCCAAACCCCUACGGGAGGAGCAAGAAGGGAACCUUCGGCAAUGGCGGAAGUCCGGACGGAGCAACGCGGGGUGAGGGAGGAAGUUUUUCGGAUCUAAAAAUCUGUUGGUAAGGGAAGACGUUAGGGGGAAUGGAAAACGCAUCAAGUGACGGUAACUAACCAGAAAGGGACGGCUAACUACGUG